GACGAACGCUGGCGGCGUGCUUAACACAUGCAAGUCGAACGGAAAGGCCCUGCUUUUGUGGGGUGCUCGAGUGGCGAACGUGUGUGUAACACGUGAUUCACCUGCCCUUGUCUUUGUGAUAACUUCAGGUAACUGGGGCUAAUACCGGAUAUGAGCUCCUGCUGCAUGGUGGGCCUUGGAAAGUUUCGGCUGUUGGGGAUGGACUCGCAGCUUAUCAGCUUGUUGGUGGGGUAGUGGCUUACCAAGGCUUUGACGGAUAGACGGAAUGAGAGGGUGAACAGGGACAUUGGGACGGAGAGACGGAGCAGACGCCUACGGGAGGCAGCAGUGGGGAAAAUUGCACAAUGGGAGGAAGACUGAUGCAACAAAGCAGCGGGCGGGAAGAAGGCCUUCGGGGUGUAAACCGCAUGAGGCUGUGACGAAGCGUGAGUGACGGUAAUGGGUAAAGAAGCAACGGCUAACUACGUG
rnacentral:rRNA from 1 species